CAGGCUGUUCUUGUCAACUCAGGGAGACUUAUGCAUACAGGACACUCAGAGCCGCUUUUAAUAGGUGUGCUCACCAGUAUUCUUGCCUGGAAAAUCACAUGGACGGAGGAGCCUGGCUGGCUACAGUCCAUGGGUUUGCAAAGAGUCAGACACAACUGAGAGACUUCACUUUUGCUUUUUCAUUUUCACCGGUAAAGAGGAUCCUGCUAGAUAUCAUCAGCAGGGUCAACCAUGUUUUGGAGACAAACACUGGACCCUCUUCCCCAGUUGCUCAUGAGAGACAGACUGAUUCACACACAAACUAUUUGGUGAGACCUGGUGCCAUGCCUCAUCUUGACGCAAGAAAAGUCUCCUGAAGUUGCUUCUUUGGCUGGCAAGAUUUGGAGCAUUAUUAGCAAGUGUAUUACGUUUGAAGCCUUUUGAUGCAGUGUUCACCAGCCUCCUCACCUCGAAUCUGUGUCAUCCAUAAAAGACUUUCAUUGAAGAAAGGAUGGUGGGAAUAGGGGAUUGCAUCCAAGUACCUAUGACAUCCUCCUUGAUUCAGACCUCUGUUAAGAAUGGCUUCGCUUCACUUUUGAACUCAUUGAGCCUUCCUUACAGAACUGAAGGAGUAGAGAACAUAGCUUUUCAUCACCACACUUUUCCUCAAGCAAUUCUUUGAGCCAGAGGCAGAGUUUCAUGAACAUCUCUUAUUUUGAAACAGGUUGUUUCAAGCAAGCUUUUAUAUUUUGUUUGAUGUUAUAUCACACAUUGCUACUUUUCUUUAAUAGCAGUGUUUUCCCCAACUUCCAACUCUUCAGAAAGCUACUGAUCUUCCUGGGUGAUUUGAGAGAUUUCUCAUCAAAUGUUGUCUUUUCAGCAGAAGUAUGGAAAGUUAGCAUUUAUUUGAAACUGUAUUAUUUGACCUUGUGGAAAGCAAUGUUUACUUCUGCCUUUCCAAAUGAACUGUUGCUUUGAAUAGCUGGUGCUCUAUUCACAUAUGUAACUUAGGAUAGCUGCUAAAUAAUUUCCAAACUUCAGUUUUCUCAACUGAAAAUGGAAUGACAGAUCAAUAUAAAUUACUGUAAAUAUAUGCAUAAUGCAUUUGAGCCCCCCCCCUCCUUUUUUUUAAUAAUACGCCAUCAAGAGUGGGGAGUACAUGUAUGGUUUUACCUGAAAAUCUUGAGUCCCUAGAUGACCUAACAAAUUCAAGAUGAGACUGGAGUGGUCUGUCUUUUCUCCUACUUUGUGCUUUUGUGACUUUAUUUCAUUGUGUUACACUUAUCACUUUUCUGGUUAAGGUUUUGUUGACUUUUCCAGUUUUCCUGAACCCACUAUCUUAAUUCAUUUUAUUUCUUUUAUCAUAACCUAGAUAACCUGUU